GAGCUGUGACGAUAAUUGUGUCAAUUGUGAUAGAUGGGUCUGUCACUUCCUUCUGAUAUUUCAGACGAAUCGUGGCACUCCUGAGCUC
rfam:Glycine soja cultivar W05 scaffold3667_12, whole genome shotgun sequence.